rnacentral:tRNA from 2 species
AGCUCGGUAGCUAAGUUGGUAUAGCACUUGUCUAGCAAACAAAAGUCGUGGGCUCGAAUCCCACCUGAACAC